ACAAUAACAUGACAAUAACCUAAGCCAAUAACAGUCAACAGACCGUAUUUGUUUAUUUUUUUACUUAAUUGUAGAAAUUGUAGAUCAUCCGUAUUUUUUUAGCUAUGUACUAAUGUAUGCUAUACAUAAUACAGGUGCACCCAUAAUACAUAUAACAUAGUUUCAAUUUUCAAUUAUCUUUGGGUAAUGCCCAUGUUUAAUACCUGUGUUUAAUACCUAUUUCGAUUUGAUUUCGAUGUAUGCUUUGGAGUGAUAUAAAAUGCCUGUUGAGAAUAUUCAGUAUUCUGAAAAAUAUUGCGAUGAAUAUUAUGAAUACCGACAUGUUAUCUUACCACCUGAUUUAGCAAAACUAGUUCCUCGUCCACAUUUAAUGACUGAAACUGAAUGGAGGAACUUAGGUGUCCAGCAAAGUCCAAAAUGGGUACAUUAUUUACUGCAUAGUCCAGAGCCUCAUAUUUUGUUAUUUAGAAGACCACUAGUUGAAGCCGAACUACAGUAUAGAUACAAUAGAUAAUAAUUUAAUUUUAGUAAAGACUUAAACUGUGUAUUUUAAAAAAUAGUUAUGAGAAUAUAUAUAUGUCAAAGUACAGCUUGUAUUUACUAAAUAAAACACUGGAUUUCUUUCAUAA